GACGAACGCUGGCGGCGUGCUUAACACAUGCAAGUCGAACGGAAAGGCCCUGCUUUUGUGGGGUGCUCGAGUGGCGAACGGGUGAGUAACACGUGAGUAACCUGCCCUUGACUUUGGGAUAACUUCAGGAAACUGGGGCUAAUACCGGAUAGGAGCUCCUGCUGCAUGGUGGGGGUUGGAAAGUUUCGGCGGUUGGGGAUGGACUCGCGGCUUAUCAGCUUGUUGGUGGGGUAGUGGCGUACCAAGGCUUUGACGGGUAGCCGGCCUGAGAGGGUGACCGGCCACAUGGGGCCUGAGAUACGGCCCGGACUCCUACGGGCGGCAGCAGUGGGGAAUGUUGCACAAUGGGCGGAAGCCUGAUGCAGCAACGCCGCGUGCGGGAUGACGGCCUUCGGGUUGUAAACCGCUUUCGCCUGUGACGAAGCGUGAGUGACGGUAAUGGGUAAAGAAGCACCGGCUAACUACGU
rnacentral:rRNA from 1 species